rnacentral:rRNA from 1 species
AACGAACGCUGGCGGCAGGCCUAACACAUGCAAGUCGAACGCCGUAGCAAUACGGAGUGGCAGACGGGUGAGUAACGCGUGGGAACAUACUCUUCGGUUCGGAAUAACUCAGGGAAACUUGAGCUAAUACCGGAUACGUCCAAGGUCAAACUUGGAGAAAGAUUUAUCGCCGGAGGAUUGGCCCGCGUCUGAUUAGCUUGUUGGUGAGGUAAUGGCUCACCAAGGCGACGAUCAGAGCUGGUCUGAGAGGAUGAUCAGCCACAUUGGGACUGAGACACGGCCCAAACUCCUACGGGAGGCAGCAGUGGGGAAUAUUGGACAAUGGGCGAAAGCCUGAUCCAGCCAUGCCGCGUGAGUGAUGAAGGCCUUAGGGUUGUAAAGCUCUUUACCCGGGAAGAUAAUGACGGUACCGGGAGAAUAAGCCCC